CCUACGGGAGGCAGCAGUGAGGAAUAUUGGUCAAUGGACGGAAGUCUGAACCAGCCAUGCCGCGUGCAGGAAGACGGCUCUAUGAGUUGUAAACUGCUUUUGUACAAGGGUAAACCUGAAUACGUGUAUUCAGCUGAAAGUACUGUACGAAUCAGGAUCGGCUAACUCCGUGCCAGCAGCCGCGGUAAUACGGAGGGUCCAAGCGUUCUCCGGAUUUAUUGGGUUUAAAGGGGGCGUAGGCGGAUUGAGAAGUUAGAGGUGAAAGGUUCGAGCUUAACUCGGGAACUGCCUCUAAUACUGUUGAUCUAGAGAGUAGAUGCGGUAGGCGGAAUGUAUGGUGUAGCGGUGAAAUGCUUAGAGAUCAUACAGAACACCGAUUGCGAAGGCAGCUUACCAAUCUAUAUCUGACGUUGAGGCACGAAAGCGUGGGGAGCAAACAGGAUUAGAUACCCGAGUAGUC
rnacentral:rRNA from 1 species